rnacentral:rRNA from 1 species
AAUGAACGCUGGCGGUAGGCCUAAUACAUGCAAGUCGAACGAGUGGCGGACGGGUGAGCAAUACAUCGGCAUCUACUCUGCCGUGGGGGCUAACGGAGGGAAACCUACGCUAAUACCGCAUACGACUGAAUGAGCCGAGGUGGGAUUAGCUAGUUGCCGGGGUAAAGGCACACAAAGGCGACGAUCCGUACCUGGUCUGAGAGGAUGAUCGGCCACACUGGAACUGAGACACGGUCCAGACUCCUACGGGAGGCAGCAGUGGGGAAUAUUGGACAAUGGGCGCAAGCCUGAUCCAGCAAUACCGCGUGGGUGAAGAAGGUCUUCGGGUUGUAAAGCCCUUUUGUUGGGAAAGCGGUACCCAAAGAAUAAGCACCGGCUAACUUCGUGCCAGCCGCCGCGGUAAUUC